rnacentral:rRNA from 1 species
GACGAACGCUGGCGGCGUGCUUAACACAUGCAAGUCGAACGGAAAGGCCCCUUUGGGGGUACUCGAGUGGCGAACGGGUGAGUAACACGUGAGUAACCUGCCCUUGACUUCGGGAUAACUUCAGGAAACUGGGGCUAAUACCGGAUAGGAAUCCUUGCUGCAUGGUGGGGGUUGGAAAGCUUCGGCGGUUUUGGAUGGACUCGCGGCUUAACAGCGUGUUGGUGGGGUAGUGGCUUACCAAGGCUUUGACGGGUAGCCGGCCUGAGAGGGCGACCGGCCGCCUUUGGACUGAGUGGCGGCCCCGAUUCCUACGGGACGCCGAAGUGGGGAAUCUUGCACGAGGGGCGGAGGCCGGAUGAAGCAGCGCCGCGGGCGGGAUGACGGCCUUCGGGUUGAAAACCGAAUUCAGCAGGGACGAAGCUUGUGGUGACGGUACCUGCAGAAGAAGCACCGGCUAACUACGUG